rnacentral:lncRNA from 1 species
AUUGUAGGGAGUAGUUACAUAUCUAUCACUAGAUCUCUCCUGUAGAGGAAAUUGGGAGGGGAAUAUCUUUUGUGAGUGGGGCUUGAUAGGGAUGUUUGAGAUUAUCCAAACCAUGUGCUGCAAAGGUAUGCUUGCAUUCAAAAGGGGCACUGCAUAGAUUGAAUGUUAGUUGAGAAUGAUGUGAAUUUUAAGGUUGGUAACAUAAAGAAGAAAUUUUUUUUAAAAAAAAGAAGAUAUUUUGGGUUUGAAACAUUAGUAA